rnacentral:lncRNA from 1 species
UUUCUAUAUUAAUUUGCUGUGCAGAGCAUUUUGCCUUGUAUUUAUUUUUUAAGCCAUCUGGGCCUGAAGCUUGAAUAAAUUGCAGGCAGGUACCAGGGCUGCUCAUCAGAUCCCUGGCACAAAACCCUCGUCUGCCAAGCACGGAAAUAAACCCGCCCUGAAUUCCCAUGGGGACAGCUGGACUUACUGUGUGUGGGGGGAAGAAGCACACCCAGCUCAAGGUGUGCAUGUCAGCUAUUAUCACAUCACAGACCACGCUGCAGUGAAGAACAGAACCAGAGCUCCCAGUAUCUUUCAGAAAAGCAAGCUUUCUUCUUGGAUCCAAGGGAAGCGCUUGCAUCUUUGCUUUUAGCUACGUGAUGUGAGAACAACCACUGAAGCUGAUUCAUGCACCUGGUGCCAGAUCUGGCAGAACAAAGAGCUCAGGUGGCAAGGAGUGUCCAUCCUUUCAUGUUCCUCCCGCCUCUAAUGUAUUCCAAAGAUGCAAAACAAAGAAUGAAGAGAAUAUAGCUGGAGUCAGUUUAGCAUCAGCAAAGAGCAAGAGUGUGGGAUUUACAAUUUGGUAGCUGUCACAAGCAGAAAGCAUUCACUAAUGAAGUCCAAACAGGUGUCAAAUAGACAUUGUGUUCCUGUUCCUAUCUCCUUUUUCUUGAGGACUGAAUAAUUCAUGAGCAAACACUCACCUGUGAAAGUCACGGGUAAAUCUCACACUGGCUAGUUUUGCUAAGGCAUCUCUAUGCCAGGAAAAAGUUGAGUAUGGGGUUGAUGUGUUCCAGAGGAUCAACUUUCCAAGAUCUGAAGGGAGCCAGUUUCAGUGGGGCAGGAAACACGUAUUUGGCAGCACCAGGGGCUGAACCCUGCCCAACACCACAAGUCCACUACAAGCCUUAUUCUGAUGGCCCAAACUUGACUUCUUUCACAGGAAAAACUUGCAGCCACACAACACCGUGGUCGUUCUGGCAAUGAACAGUAACCAGUGCUUGAGGGAGUCAGACCCUGUUACCAUAACAGUCAGUUUGUGAUUUGUGCUUUCACUGUAUUCCUUCAAAAUGGUAACUGCAUUGCAAAUAUUUCAUUUCAGAACUAGUUCUUUGUUAAACAAGUCCAUGAAUUUCAUGGCCAGCUGUUUGUGAUAUUGCAUCUCAGGAGAAAACAUCCUAACAGAUCAAAAAAAAAGCAGCUGAUAGCCUCUGAACAAGUAUGAUACACAUUUUCUUCUCAUUUAAUGCUCAUUUCUGAAACCCAGAAUCCCAGUAGGCACAAGGGGAGGGUUUGCCAUUCAUCUUCUUAGAAUUAUCUCACAAGCUCACAGACAAAACUUUGGUGUCAAAUAGAAGUCAGCAUAACAAAGGAUGCAGAGGGUUUUAAUAUGUGAAUCUUCCUUGUGUCACAACUGCAGUCUUUUAGCUCCUUGCAUUGCGUCUGCUUGUUG